CCUACGGGACGCAGCAGUGGGGAAUAUUGCACAAUGGGGGGAACCCUGAUGCAGCAAUGCCGCGUGGGUGAAGAAGCACUCCGGUGCGUAAAGCCCUGUCAGCAGGGAAGAAAAUGACAGUACCUGGACAAGAAGCUCCGGCUAACUACGUGCCAGCAGCCGCGGUAAUACGUAGGGAGCGAGCGUUGUCCGGAUUUACUGGGUGUAAAGGGCGUGCAGCCGGGAGUACAAGUCAGAUGUGAAAUCCCGCGGCUCAACCGCGGAACUGCAUUUGAAACUGUAUUUCUUGAGUACUGGAGAGGCAG
rnacentral:rRNA from 1 species